UCUGAACUUUUGAUCAGAAAU
rnacentral:piRNA from 1 species